rnacentral:tRNA from 1 species
UAUGGCCNAGAGUAGGCACGGGCUGUAGACCCGCCAACAGGGGCAAACCCUUUCUAUCA